GAUGAAGAACGUAGUGAAAUGCGAUAAGUAAUGUGAAUUGCAGAAUCCAGUGAAUCAUCGAAUCUUUGAACGCACAUUGCGCCCGCCAGCAUUCUGGCGGGCAUGCCUGUUCGAGCGUCAUUUCAACCCUCGACCUCCCCUUGGGGAGGUCGGCGUUGGGGACCGGCAGCACACCGCCGGCCCUGAAAUGGAGUGGCGGCCCGUCUGCGGCGACCUCUGCGUAGUAAUACAGCUCGCACCGGAACCCCGACGCGGCCACGCCGUAAAACACCCAACUUCUGAACGUUGACCUCGAAUCAGGUAGGACUACCCGCUGAACUUGAGCAUAUCAAUAAGCGGAGGA
rnacentral:misc_RNA from 1 species